rnacentral:rRNA from 1 species
GAUGAACGCUGGCGGCGUGCUUAACACAUGCAAGUCGAACGAGAAGUGGAGACGGAAACCUUCGGGCGGAAGACUUUAUUUCGAGUGGCGGACGGGUGAGUAACGCGUGGGUAACCUGCCCCAUACAGGGGGAUAACAGUUGGAAACGACUGUUAAUACCGCAUAAGACCACAGCACCGCAUGGUGCGGGGGUAAAAACUCCGGUGGUAUGAGAUGGACCCGCGUUCGAUUAGCCAGUUGGCGGGGUAACGGCCCACCAAAGCGACGAUCGAUAGCCGAUCUGAGAGGAUGACCGGCCACAUUGGGACUGAGACACGGCCCAAACUCCUACGGGAGGCAGCAGUGGGGAAUAUUGCACAAUGGGGGAAACCCUGAUGCAGCGACGCCGCGUGAGUGAAGAAGUAUUUCGGUAUGUAAAGCUCUAUCAGCAGGGAAGAAAAUGACGGUACCUGAGUAAGAAGCCCCGGCUAACUACGUG